UGGGAGAGAGCAGAGCCAGACGGGGCCCCCGGCCGUCUGGGUGCAGUUAACCCCAUAAAUGCCAACUGAAAUUAGAUGACAUGAAUGUUAAUGGCCAAUUGGAUUUUUUUACCCUCUUUUAACAGAUUAAUUUUAAUGAAUCAUAAUUGUAAUGCCCAAUUAGAAUUUUUUAUGCUCUUUUUAACUUAUUUAAUUUAAUGAAUUGUAAUUGUAAUGCCCAAUUUUAACGUUUGCCCAUUAGAAUUGUAAUGAAAUUGAUUUUUUAAAGACAGAUGUAAUUAUGUUAGCCCCUAAUUCCCUUUUUAAAUUUUAGAUGAGAUAUAUUUUUGUAAUAUUUAUGGUUUUAAUGUCUAAUAAUCAAUAAUGGAUUAAAAAGAAUUAAUUAAAAUAAAUUAUUAGUUUUUAAAGGUUAGGGUUAGGGGUCAGGGCUAGGGCUAGAGAGGUUAGGGUUAGGGCUAGGGUUAGGGUUAGAUUUGAUCCCCGAGGGUUAGGGUUAGGGUCAGGGCCAGGGUUAGGGUUAGAUUUGAUCCCCGAGGGUUAGGGUUAGGGUUAGGGAUAGGGUUAGGGUUAGAUUUGAUCCCCGAGGGUUAGGGUUAGGGUUAGGGAUAGGGCCAGGGUUAGAUUUGAUCCCCGAGGGUUAGGGUUAGGGUUAGGAUUCUGGUUAGGCGUUAGUUUUAGGGCUAGGGGUUAGUGGUUAGGGGUCAGGGGUUAGUGAUUAGGGGUUGGUGGUUAGUAAUUAGGGGUCACUUUUUUUUCCUAAUGUGUCUUUUUGGUUUGUAUGUUAUAGGUUUUGGGGGAGAGGGAGAGUUUCCCUCCAGAAAAUCCAGAAACUCCAUGUCCAGCUUAGACAGGAAGUUCUGUUGUGGAGACAGAACAGGAGUCGUCUCCAGCUCCGUGGCUUGGUUUUCCCCUAUAUGUGUGAGUGCUGUUUUGUAUUGUUUGUAGGUGUUUGUUUCUCCUCUUGUUUGUUAUUGUUUGUUCUCACCCACUGCACCAGACUGGGGCUUUGCUCCUUCAGCAGCAGACUGAGACUCCCACCCUGCAGGACGGAGCGCUACCGCAGAUCAUUCCUCCCCUCUGCAAUAAGACUUUACAAUGAACAGUAACAAAACUGGAUUUACACCACCACUUUUUUUAUGGCAUUUAAAUUGUGUAUAUUGCAGAAAGCUUUAUUUUUUCUUCUCCCUUUUCUCUUUUCAAUUUUUUUUUCUUAAUUAUUACAUUUAUUAAGUUCUUAAUAUUAGGACCCUUAUUGUUAUAACUGCAUUUUGCACUUUCUGUCUUGUCUGUGAUGCUGCUGUGACAAAAAAAUUUCCCCCAUGGGGGAUCAAUAAAGGAAUAUUCUAUUCUAUUAUGUUGUGGUUCUGUGUGUGGUGUGUGGAGUGGAGUCUGAGGUGUUUUGGUUUGUUGUGGUGUUUUUUGUUGUUGUUGUUGUGGUGGUGUUUUGUUUUGUUGUUGUUGUUGUGCUUGUGCUGACUGUGUGUUUUGUUGUGGUGUCUGCUUUAUAUGUACAGGAUUGUCCACAAUUUGUGGACCAUCAUUUUGUAGUUUUUCCUGUGCAGCAGCAGGCUCAGAAGGGGCUGUCUCUGUGUCCUGUGCUGCAUCAGGCUUCACACAAGAGGCUAUCAGAGCCUCUGCGUGGUCAAUAACCUCCUGCUUUAUACGAGGCAGGUUCUUCCUAGCCCAUCUCGUGGCCACAGUGAAGGCGCUCUUCCACUCUUGAGGUGGCUCUUUUGAAAGAUCUGCCUGUAUUUUCUCCAGCUCAGCGGUGUAGUGGUCCUGGAGAAUGAGCAGUGUAGUGUGGCCCCAGUUCUUUGCAUUUGCCAUGAUCAUAUCCAGCGUGUCGGUUGUUGGAUUUGCUGGUUUGAUCAUGGUUGCCAAAUUAUCCACCAUACGUGCUAUCAUUUUUGGAUCCUGUUUUUCAGGUCCUGGGGUCACAUUUUGUAGGUGGUGUACCAUUUUAAUGACAGUGUGUAAUUUCCUGACCAUUUGUCCAAAUUGUGGGUCAUGUACUGGUGCUUGAUAAGUACUUGGAUCAGGCAGGGAUCUGCUCUGCUGUGUGUUUUUUUGGUGGAAAUAAGGGCGUUUUUGAGGAAACCCCCCCUGGUUACAGGUGGGGUUUCCCUGGUGUAGCACAGAUGCAUAGGACCCUGAUUGAGGUCCCCAAAAUCUGGGUUGAUAAUGAGGAGGAGGUCCAGGUCUGCGGGGACGUGAGGGAGCAGAGAACCGUGGGGGAGGCACAGGCCGGUUAGGUUUAUGGAUAUAGGGGGACUGUCUCCUAGAAUAGGAGACAGGAGGUGCACGGUCCAUCCCCCUGUUCCCCAUCCCCCACGACCCCGUUUGGUACUGCUGAUUAGUGCGAUACGGGCGUUGACCACGCCUUCUCCCGUAUCGCACUUCAGUCCAUUCUUGCUCAUUGUAAUUCAUGAUUGUUUUUAAUCUUUUUAAUUAUUAAUUACUUAUUUAUUAAUGUGGUGUAUUUAUUAAACUAUUUAUUUAUUUAUUUAUUGGUGUAACAGUAUAACCAAAUAAAUGAAUUGUUCUUAUUUUUUUAUGCUUUUUUUUGUUUUUUUCUGAAAUCAAAAUGAAAUAAAAUGAAAUAAAAGAAAGAAAACUGAAUAAUAUGUCUAUGAAGACGAAGAAAUAAAGAAAAGGUGUAAUAAAGAGUGCCCAGUCGCGACGUUUCGACCCGCUUGGGUCUUCUUCAGGCUAUGGGCACAGAAAGGGAUAUGUCUGGACUUGUCUGAGUGUGUGUAUGAGAUGUUUUCUCUUCCGGAGACAUAUGUGAAGUGGGAGAAGUGGGCUGUGUGUGCGUGUGUUAUUUAUAGGGGCGUGGGAGAGAGCAGAGCCAGACGGGGCCCCCGGCCGUCUGGGUGCAGUUAACCCCAUAAAUGCCAACUGAAAUUAGAUGACAUGAAUGUUAAUGGCCAAUUGGAUUUUUUUACCCUCUUUUAACAGAUUAAUUUUAAUGAAUCAUAAUUGUAAUGCCCAAUUAGAAUUUUUUAUGCUCUUUUUAACUUAUUUAAUUGAAUGAAUUGUAAUUGUAAUGCCCAAUUUUAACGUUUGCCCAUUAAAUUUGUAAUGAAAUUGAAGUUUUAAAGACAGAUGUAAUUAUGUUAGCCCCUAAUUCCCUUUUUAAAUUUUAGAUGAGAUAUAUAUUUGUAUUAUUUAUGGUUUUAAUGUCUAAUAAUCCAUAAUGGAUUAAAAAGAAUUAAUUAAAAUAAAUUAUUAGUUUUUAGAGGUUAGGGUUAGGGGUCAGGGCUAGGGUUAGAGAGGUUAGGGUUAGGGCUAGGGUUAGGGUUAGAUUUGAUCCCCGAGGGUUAGGGUUAGGGUUAGGGCCAGGGUUAGGGUUAGAUUUGAUCCCCGAGGGUUAGGGUUAGGGUUAGGGAUAGGGUUAGGGUUAGAUUUGAUCCCCGAGGGUUAGGGUUAGGGUUAGGGAUAGGGCCAGGGUUAGAUUUGAUCCCCGAGGGUUAGGGUUAGGGUUAGGAUUCUGGUUAGGCGUUAGUUUUAGGGCUAGGGGUUAGUGGUUAGGGGUCAGGGGUUAGUGAUUAGGGGUUGGUGGUUAGUGAUUAGGAGUCACUUUUUUUUCCUAAUGUGUCUUUUUGGUUUGAAUGUUACAGGUUUUGGGGGAGAGGGAGAGUUUCCUUCCAGAAAAUCCAGAAACUCCAUGUCCGGCUUGGACAGGAAGCUCUGUUGUGGAGACAGAACAGGAGUUGUCUCCAGCUCCGUGUCUUGGUUUUCCCCUAUGUGUGAGUACUGUUUUGUAUUGUUUGUAGGUGUUUGUUUCUCCUCUUGUUUGUUAUGUUGUGGUUCUGUGUGUGGUGUGUGGAGUGGAGUCUGAGGUGUUUUGGUUUGUUGUGGUGUUUUUUGUUGUUGUUGUUGUGGUGGUGUUUUGUUUUGUUGUUGUUGUUGUUGUGCUUGUGCUGACUGUGUGUUUUGUUGUGGUGUCUGCUUGUGCUUGUGUGACAGUUUUGUUGUUGUCUGCACAAUUGUCCACAAUUUGUGGACCAUCAUUUUGUAGUUUUUCCUGUGCAGCAGCAGGCUCAGAAGGGGCUGUCUCUGUGUCCUGUGCUGCAUCAGGCUUCACACAGGAGGCUAUCAGAGCCUCUGCGUGGUCAAUAACCUCCUGCUUUAUGCGAGGCAGGUUCUUCCUAGCCCAUCUCGUGGCCACAGUGAAGGCGCUCUUCCACUCUUGAGGUGGCUCUUUUGAAAGAUCUGCCUUUAUUUUCUCCAGCUCAGCGGUGUAGUGGUCCUGGAGAAUGAGCAGUGUAGUGUGGCCCCAGUUCUUUGCAUUUGCCAUGAUCAUAUCCAGCGUGUCGGUUGUUGGAUUUGCUGGUUUGAUCAUGGCUGCCAAAUUAUCCACCAUACGUGCUAUCAUUUUUGGAUCCUGUUUUUCAGGUCCUGGGGUCACAUUUUGUAGGUGGUGUACCAUUUUAAUGACAGUGUGUAAUUUUCUGACCCUUUGUCCAAAUUGUGGGUCAUGUACUGGUGCUUGAUGAGUACUUGGAUCAGGCAGGGAUCUGCUCUGCUGUGUGUUUUUUUGGUGGUAAUAAGGGCGUCUUUGAGGAAAUCCCCCUGGUUACGGGUGGGGUUUCCCUGGUGUAGCACAGAUGCAUAGGACCCUGAUUGAGGUCCCCAAAAUUUGGGUUGAUAAUCAGGAGGAGGUCCAGGUCUGCGGGGACGUGAGGGAGCAGAGAACCGUGGGGGAGGCACAGGCCGGUUAGGUUUAUGGAUAUAGGGGGACUGUCUCCUAGAAUAGGAGACAGUAGGUGCACGGUCCAUCCCCCUGUUCCCCGUCCCCCACGACCCCGUUUGAUACUGCUGAUUAGUGCGAUACGGGCGUUGACCACGCCUUCUCCCGUAUCGCACUUCAGUCCAUUCUUGCUCAUUGUAAGUCAUGAUUGUUUUUAAUCUUUUUAAUUAUUUAUUACUUAUUUAUUAAUGUGGUGUAUUUAUUAAACUAUUUAUUUAUUUAUUGGUCUUCUAUUAUUUUUUUAUUAAUCAAGGUAUUUAAAACAAAACGUAUAAAUGAAUUGUUCUUAUUUUUUUAUGCUUUUUUUGUUUUUUUGUGAAAUAAAAAUGAAAUAAAAUGAAAUAAAAAGAAAGAAAACUAAAUAAUAUGUGUAUGAAAAUGAAGAAUCGAAGAAAAGGUGAAAAAGAGUGCCCAGUCGCGACGUUUCGACCCGCUUGGGUCUUCUUCAGGCUAUGGGCACAGAAAGGGAUAUGUCUGGACUUGUCUGAGUGUGUGUAUGAGAUGUUUUCUCUUCCGGAGACAUAUGUGAAGUGGGAGAAGUGGGCUGUGUGUGCGUGUGUUAUUUAUAGGGGCGUGGGAGAGAGCAGAGCCAGACGGGGCCCCCGGCCGUCUGGAUACGUCUGGGUGCAGUUAACCCCAUAAAUGCCAACUGAAAUUAGAACACAUUGAAUGUUAAUUGGCCAAUUGUAAUGAUUUUUUUAUCCUCUUUUAACAGAUUAAUUUAAUGAAUCAUAAUUGUAAUGCCCAAUUAGAAUUUUUUAUCCUCUUUUAACUUAUUUAAUUUAAUGAAUUUAUUUUAAUGCCCAAUUAGAAAUGAAUUGAAUGAAUUGUAAUUGUAAUGCCCAAUUUUAACGUUUGCCCAUUAAAUUGUAAUGAAAUUGAUUUUUAAAGACAGAUGUAAUUAUGUUAGCCCCUAAUUCCCUUUUUAAAUUUUAGAUGAGAUAUAUAUUUGUAAUAUUUAUGGUUUUAAUGUCUAAUAAUCAAUAAUGGAUUAAAAAGAAUUAAUUAAAAUAAAUUAUUAGUUUUUAAAGGUUAGGGUUAGGGGUCAGGGCUAGGGCUAGAGAGGUUAGGGUUAGGGCUAGGGUUAGGGUUAGAUUUGAUCCCCGAGGGUUAGGGUUAGGGUCAGGGCCAGGGUUAGGGUUAGAUUUGAUCCCCGAGGGUUAGGGUUAGGGUUAGGGAUAGGGUUAGGGUUAGAUUUGAUCCCCGAGGGUUAGGGUUAGGGUUAGGGAUAGGGCCAGGGUUAGAUUUGAUCCCCGAGGGUUAGGGUUAGGGUUAGGAUUCUGGUUAGGCGUUAGUUUUAGGGCUAGGGGUUAGUGGUUAGGGGUCAGGGGUUAGUGAUUAGGGGUUGGUGGUUAGUAAUUAGGGGUUGGUGGUUAGUGAUUAGGGGUCACUUUUUUUUCCUAAUGUGUCUUUUUGGUUUGUAUGUUAUAGGUUUUGGGGCAGAGGGAGAGUUUCCCUCCAGAAAAUCCAGAAACUCCAUGUCCAGCUCAGACAGGAAGUUCUGUUGUGGAGACAGAACAGGAGUCGUCUCCAGCUCCGUGGCUUGGUUUUC
rnacentral:lncRNA from 1 species